AAUCUCUUCUAGAGCUCGACAGCUCUCGUUGCCCCGAGUGUUGCCAUUGGAGUGGGUGGACCCUGCUGACCCAAAGGGAAGAAGGAAAGGAGCAGAUCACAGAGAGGGUAGGGCGUAGGGGUUGGAGAAGCGGCCAAGGAGGGAACCUGAGAGCCUUGAAUCGCGAAGGGACGCACAAAGAUUUACCGACGAGACCUGCUUGGGAAUCAGGAUGCCUGGCUUCUGGUCCCGGGUCAGUGACUUGGUACAAGUCCUACCCUUUCUGGGCCUCACUUUCUCCGUUUACAAAGGAACAAGUUGAACGGUGACCUCUAAAUAUCCCUACAAUUCUGACAUUCAACGGGUUUAAACCAGAUAAUGGGCAGCCACAGAAGGUCUGUGGAGAGAGCAGUGAGCUGAGGAAAACUCUUCAUCAGGAGAAUUAGAAUGGUAGCAGUGAAUAAAAUGGAUUGGAGACUACAUGGUAGACUUCUGCAUUGAGUGAAAGACUCACACCUGAACUAAAGCAGAGACAGUAGGGGUGUAGACUAUGGGAUGAACUGGAGCAAGAUUUUGGAGAUUGACAAGAUUCAGAGACCUGCUGUAUGGGAGGAGAAAUCAUGAAGAAGAAGGAACCAAGUUUUGGGGGCCUCUUAUUAAUAGAAACGAGAGAGACCUAAGGUUUACUAAAGUGCUAAGGGAGAUAAUAAUGAGUUCAGUUGGCCAAACUGAGAUUAAGAUGAUGGCAAAUUGUCUGGAGAGAGAUUCUAGAAGGAAUGUGAGCUUGGAAAUCAGGAAAGAGGUAUGGAGUACACGUGUAGUAUAUUGGUGCUCCUUCAACAAAUAAACUUGUCGUUCAUUCAUUCAACAAGAAUUUACUGAGUGCCUGCAAUAUACUAGGGCCUGUUCUACACACUGAGAAUGCAGCAAUAUAUAAAAGAGACCAAAAAAUAAGUAAAUAAAUAAAUAAAUCCCUGCUCUGGCAGACCUUACCUUCUAGAGAGAAAUAACUAAUAAUAAUGGUGACAGGUGUUAAGAAGAAGAAUGAAGCAGGGAAAAGGAGACAGAAAGUAGCCAUGGUUGAAAUUUAUAAAGGAUGCCCAGAGAAAGGCAACAUCUGAGUAAAGACCUGAAGGAAGGGGCUGGCCCCGUGGCCGAGUGGUUAAGUUCGCGCGCUCCGCUGCAGGCGGCCCAGUGUUUCGUCGGUUCGAAUCCUGGGCGCGGACAUGGCACUGCUCGUCAGACCACGCUGAGGCAGCGUCCCACAUGCCACAACUAGAGGAACCCACAACGAAGAAUACACAACUAUGUACCGGGGGGCUUUGGGGAGAAAAAGGAAAAAAUAAAAUCUUAAAAAAAAUAAAAUAAAAUAAAAUAAAAAAGACCUGAAGGAAGUGAGGAAAUGAGUCAUGCAGAUAUCCAGGAGAAGAAAAUGCCUGGCCAAGUGAACAGCUAGUACAAAGGCCCUGAGGUGGAAGCUCACCUUCUAUGUUCGAGGAGCAGUAAACAACCUAGUGUGGCUGUAACGUAGUGAGCAACGAGGAGAAUAGUGGGAGAUAAGUCAGACAGGCAACAGGGAGCUAAGUCACAUAGGGCCUUGUAGAUCAUUUUAAGGACUUUGACUUUUGCUUUAAGUGAGCUGAAAGCCGUUGGAGAGUUUUGAGCAGAGAAGGGAAAUGAUCUGACUUUUUAGUAGGAUCAUUCUAGCUACUACACUGAGCAUAAGCUAAAGAAGGAAGCAGACAGACCACUUAGAGGUCAUGGCAGUAAUCCAGGCAGGAAAUGAUAGGACUGUAGACCAGAGCAGUCGUAGAAGAUAAGGUGAUUAGAAAUGGUCAGGGGGCCAGUCCCAUGGCAGUGGCAGAGUGGUUGGGUUCUUGCACUCCACUUCGGCGGCCCAGGGUUCACUGGUUGGGGUCCUGGGCACGGUCCUAUGCACUACUCAUCAAGUCAUGCUGUGGCAGCAUCCCGCAUUGAAGAACUAGAAUGACCUACAACUAGGAUAUACAAGUAUGUACUGGGACUUUGGGGAGGAAAAAAAAAGAGGAAGAUUGGCAACAGAUGUUAGUUCAGGGCCAAUCUUCCUCACCAAAAAAAGCAUACUUAAAAAUAAAAUAAAAUUGGGGCCGGCUCUGUGGCCGAGUGGUUAAGUUCGCGCGCUCCACUGCGGCAGCCCAGGGUUCGGAUCCUGGGCACAGACAUGGCACUGCUCGUCAGGCCACGUUCAGGCGGCGUCCCACAUGCUACAACUAGAAGGACCUGCAACUAAGAUAUACCACUACGUACUGGGGGGUUUGGGGAGAUAAAGCAGAACAAAACAAAAAAAAAAAGGAUUGGCAACAGUUGUUAAAAAAAAUAAAAUUAAAAAAGAAAUGGUCAGGUUCUGGGUACAUUUUAAAGGUAGAGCCAUAAGAAUUUACUCAUAGGUUAAAUGCACAGUGUGAGGAAAUGAGAGGACUCAAGGAUGACUUUAAAGUUUUUGACCUCAGUCAAAUUCUUACAGGUUUGGCUGCAAAAAUGGAAAAGCAGAUUAAUUAAAAUUUCUGAAGAUAGGACCUUUUGAAACACUAACAAAUAGGACAUGAGAAGAGGAAGCAGAGGAAGAGAUGGAAAAGUAGUAGCCAGAGAAGUGGAAAAGGAAUCAGAAGACUAUUGUGCCAUGGAGGAUUAGGAAGAAAAAACCUUUGGAGCGCUAGGCCUGUGCCUCUCCUCGCAGAGUAGGCCUCCCUGAGACCAAAGACAAGUCUCCCUCAUCAGAGAGGGAUUUCCUGAGAUUUCCAAUUAGCCUAGGUCUCAUGAUCCAAUAAUUUUUCUUUCUCUGCCUUCUUGUUUUAAGGGGGACCAGGGGGCCAGCCCGGUGGCACAGCGGUUACGUUCGCACGUUCUGCUUCUUGGAGGCCUGGGGUUCGCCAGUUUGGAUCCUGGGUGCAGACAUGGCACUGCUUGGCAAAAGCCAUGCUGUGUCUCCUGUCAGUGCCUCCCAUUGACUGAAUCCAGCUAGUAUCCAGGUGGCAAAGAAGCUGGGAAGUGUAGUUUUCAGAACAGACAACGGGUUUGAGAACGAAGACGUAAUGACUCACUUCAAAAAGUUCACAGAAUCAAUGAGAGAGAUGGAGAACUAGAUGCAAAACACAGGAGAAAACCUAGUAAAAAACAGGAGGAACCAUGGUAAGAGUCACCAAAUAAAAGAAUAAAAGACAAUUAGUUAAUAAUAAAAUAGUAACAGUAAAAGAUAAUUAAUUUUAUUAAAAUUUUCGUGUGUGAGGAAGAUUGCCCCUGAGCUAACGUCUGUGUCAGUCUUCCUCCAUCUUGUGUGUGGGACGCCGCUGCAGCACGGCUUAACAAGUGGUGUGCAGGUCUGCACCUAGGAUCCGAACCCACAAACCCCAGCCCACUGCAGCGUGCAAACCCAACCACUACACCACUG
ensembl:lncRNA